rnacentral:rRNA from 1 species
UACGGAGGGUGCAAGCGUUAUCCGGAUUUACUGGGUUUAAAGGGUGUGUAGGCGGGCUGUUAAGUCAGUGGUGAAAUCUCCGGGCUCAACCCGGAAACUGCCAUUGAUACUAUCAGUCUUGAAUUCUGUUGAGGUGGGCGGAAUAUGUCAUGUAGCGGUGAAAUGCAUAGAUAUGACAUAGAACACCAAUUGCGAAGGCAGCUCACUAAGCAGCGAUUGACGCUGAGGCACGAAAGCGUGGGGAUCAAACAGG